GCAUCUGUGAUCUGCAUACUGAUUCAGCUGAGAUUUGACCUUCUGGGCGGAGAAAAACAAGAAUCCCAGGACACACUUUCGAGAUUCGAGCCAAGAGGCAUAAUGGUCCCUCCGGGCACCCACGUUGCAAGCGCGUUCUUUGUGCUUUCUGUUCUAGCAGCACCCGACUCCCACUCCUUC